UUUGGCGGGUCUUUGUCUCUUGCUGGCGCUGGCACAGGAACUUGGGAUCCGUCUCCUCUUUCGCCUCCUCCGCUUUGGGAGCCCCGGGCUACUCUUUCACAGCCCCUGUUGCCCUGUGAUCUGUAGGUCCUUGGGGACGCACAGUUAAGAUGACAGGACAUCCUGGAAGCUGGGAAAUGGCAUCAUAGCUGGGAAACGGAUUCACAAGACCCAGGCUGUUCCCUACAUAUGUUUCCUCCUCCGACAUCAGUUCAUCAGUCAAUCAAGCCAUGUGAGAGUGGAGGCCUUGUAUUCCCUAUUAUUCUUGGGCACUCUACUCCAAGUAGGAAAAGGCCAGGAGGUCCUGUUAAAGGAUGCACUCAGAGCCCGGGCUCCCUAACAUAUGAGAGUGCUAACCAGCAGGUGUAGACUUUUCAGGAGUGAAGAAUGAGGCAGGCAUUCCAAACCUGGACCUUCAUCACCUUU
rnacentral:lncRNA from 1 species